rnacentral:lncRNA from 1 species
AAGAAAAACGGGAAAUGGCUGUGCCGCCGCGCUGCAGAAUGCAUAUGGAUGACCUGAAGCACACUAGACGAUCAGCAGACAUCCAUCCCAUUCUUGCGAUAAUGCGACUUGAGAUGUUGCGCUGGCUCUGCCAUCUCGGUGUAGCUAUCACUACAAGUAACGUGUGCAAACUACUGGAACUCCUUGGACGCUAUGAGGAUUUGCUACUCCCGGUUAGCUUCCGGAUGUCACCCAUUCGUAGUAGAGUUAUGAUUUGUAGUGUUGGUAGUUCAAAGUUGUAGCCACU